rnacentral:snoRNA from 1 species
CUUUUUAUUUGUUGAACAAACUUAUGGUUGUGUGCUUUAGGGCAGAAGCCGGAGAAAAAAAUAUCAUCAGCUGCCACAGCAUCAUGAUACUCACAUGGAUCGAUCAGCUUCCUGUCCUAGAAGAG